AGCGAACGCUGGCGGCAGGCCUAACACAUGCAAGUCGAACGGACCUUUCGGGGUUAGUGGCGGACGGGUGAGUAACACGUGGGAACGUGCCUUUAGGUUCGGAAUAGCUCCUGGAAACGGGUGGUAAUGCCGAAUGUGCCCUUCGGGGGAAAGAUUUAUCGCCUUUAGAGCGGCCCGCGUCUGAUUAGCUAGUUGGUGAGGUAAUGGCUCACCAAGGCGACGAUCAGUAGCUGGUCUGAGAGGAUGGCCAGCCACAUUGGGACUGAGACACGGCCCAAACUCCUACGGGAGGCAGCAGUGGGGAAUCUUGCGCAAUGGGCGAAAGCUUGACGCAGCCAUGCCGCGUGGAUGAUGAAGGUCUUAGGAUUGUAAAAUCCUUUCACCGGUGAAGAUAAUGACUGUAGCCGGAGAAGAAGCCCCGGCUAACUUCGUGCCAGCCGCCGCGGUAAAAC
rnacentral:rRNA from 1 species